rnacentral:rRNA from 1 species
ACGCUGGCGGCAGGCCUAACACAUGCAAGUCGAGCGGUAGAGAGAAGCUUGCUUCUCUUGAGAGCGGCGGACGGGUGAGUAAUGCCUAGGAAUCUGCCUGGUAGUGGGGGAUAACGUUCGGAAACGGACGCUAAUACCGCAUACGUCCUACGGGAGAAAGCAGGGGACCUUCGGGCCUUGCGCUAUCAGAUGAGCCUAGGUCGGAUUAGCUAGUUGGUGGGGUAGUGGCUCACCAAGGCGACAAUCCGUAACUGGUCUGAGAGGAUGAUCAGUCACACUGGAACUGAGACACGGUCCAGACUCCUACGGGAGGCAGCAGUGGGGAAUAUUGGACAAUGGGCGAAAGCCUGAUCCAGCCAUGCCGCGUGUGUGAAGAAGGUCUUCGGAUUGUAAAGCACUUUAAGUUGGGAGGAAGGGUUGUAGAUUAAUACUCUGCAAUUUUGACGUUACCGACAGAAUAAGCACCGGCUAACUCUGUGCCAGCAGCCGCGGUAAUACAGAGGGUGCAAGCGUUAAUCGGAAUUACUGGGCGUAAAGCGCGCGUAGGUGGUUCGUUAAGUUGGAUGUGAAAUCCCCGGGCUCAACCUGGGAACUGCAUCCAAAACUGGCGAGCUAGAGUAUGGUAGAGGGUGGUGGAAUUUCCUGUGUAGCGGUGAAAUGCGUAGAUAUAGGAAGGAACACCAGUGGCGAAGGCGACCACCUGGACUGAUACUGACACUGAGGUGCGAAAGCGUGGGGAGCAAAC